rnacentral:rRNA from 1 species
CUCGUAGGUGGCCAACUAAGUCAAACGUGAAAUCCCUCGGCUUAACCGGGGAACUGCGUUUGAUACUGGAUGGCUUGAGUUUGGGAGAGGGAUGCGGAAUUCCAGGUGUAGCGGUGAAAUGCGUAGAUAUCUGGAGGAACACCGGUGGCGAAGGCAGCAUCCUGGACCAAUACUGACGCUGAGGAGCGAAAGCUAGGGGGAGCAAAC